CUCUGGCAGUUGCAACACACUGGUAAUCUGUUUCUACACACAUACCAGUUCUUAGUACUAGAAGAAGUUGAAGAAAACUCACAAGUAAUGGUGAAGCAAAUGGGCUGUACAGUCAAACAUUUGGGGCAGUGUUCUUGAUUCUUCACUAACAAAAUGUGUUGACCUAGCAGGCUUCUGGUUACUUCCAUUCCCAACCUAUCCCUUAGUUUUAUUCUUUUGAAGAGUCUGCAUUUCAAGCUAUCAUGUUGGAGAGAGUGAUUGCAGAAAGAAGUGUUCAUUGUUUCAGGUUUAAUAAUCUAUUGAGGAGGACCUACUCAUAUGUGAAUCUUUGCAGAGUAAUGCAACUGGUGAAGAAAUACUCAACUGCAUCAACAGUUUUAUGCAGAAACAUGAAUGAAUGGAAAAA